CAUUUAGUCAGAAACUAGACACUUCCAGGCUGGAGAACAUCACAUCCACGGGAAAAGCAGAGCGCAGUCGCUCUCGACUGCACAGUGGAAACGGAAUGGGGACAUUGCUCAUGCAUGGUUUAAUAAAAUAAGCCUGCAUGUCCUCUUACAUCCACGCAUGAACACUGUUAACAAGCUUUCAAGGGGGAAUUCCCCAUCUUGGAAAUUAAACUGCCUGUUCCGUUCUCUGGAUCGCUGAGAGGCAACAUUCGAGGGUUGAACACUUAAGGACUGCGAGUUUUUGAACGGGAAAAUGUAUAAUUGAAGAGCUGGCACAGAAGAGUAUGCUUCUGGCAAUACAAGCCACUGUUCAUAGAUUUUUGCGUCAAUUUUUAACGCAAGACGCACGGGAACCUCUAUUUGUCCACGACACACAGGCACUCGUAGCUUACUUUCUGACAGUGAGGAAUAUGCACGUCAUUGUUAUAGAAGUCAACUUUAUGAGAUGGUUUUUAAGUGUUGAUAGGAGGAGGUUGCUGUCUUUGGUUAUCUAGCUGUAUGAGUGAUUAUCUGCCUUCAUAAAGCUAGAUAACCGAAAGUAGAAACGUCCUCCUUAACUGCACAGUGGACAAGUUCACAGUGGAAGAAGUAAUCGCGGGAAACUGUGAGAGUUACGAGCAUGAGCCUCUUAAACACACAGUGUCUUUGUGAGAGACCAGAGCACUGGAGCUACAAGAAGAAGAAAACAGACCAUCUGCAACUGCCAGCCAUUUACACUCCUUUUGGAGCAAGAGAGGGAGUGGGAAAAAGGGUGCAAUUGUCCAAAUGAAAGAAAAGAAAAAUAAUAGUCAACCCUCAUCCUUCUCCUACCAGCUCCCCUCCCUUCAUCAACGGAAGCAUUUAGUGCCAUCUGUGCCCCCAGAGUAAAGAAAAAAAGAAAGUGAGUUAGAGUCUACAUCCCUAGUGCCAAUGGGGACAAAGAGGCUGCCAGUUGCCACGGACCACCAGAUGCUGGAAGACUGAAUGAGGGGUGUGCUUUCAGGAAGCCAUCUUGAUGGAUAAACUGGCUGCUGCUCUCUAAAAUGGCUGUGUUGGCAUGAGGCUCCUGGAAAUGAUCAAAACUGUUGAGAAAAAAAAAAAAAACAAACAUCGCUGUCAUCAGCUGCCAGAGGACAUCAGGCUAUUUUUGAUUCAGAUGGUCAAUAACAGCACCUCAGGAAUCCAGCAUCUCUUC